UGAGGAAUAUUGGUCAAUGGACGGAAGUCUGAACCAGCCAUGCCGCGUGCAGGAUGACGGCUCUAUGAGUUGUAAACUGCUUUUAUACUAGGGUAAAACCAGCUACGUGUAGUUGCUUGAAAGUAUAGUAUGAAUAAGGAUCGGCUAACUCCGUGCCAGCAGCCGCGGUAAUACGGAGGAUUCGAGCGUUAUCCGGAUUUAUUGGGUUUAAAGGGUGCGUAGGCGGUAAUUUAAGUUAGUCGUUAAAUCGGAAGGCUCAACCUUCUCAUGGCGAUUAAUACUGGGUUACUAGAGAUUAGAUGCAGAGGGCGGAAUGUGUAGUGUAGCGGUGAAAUGCUUAGAUAUUACACAGAACACCGAUUGCGAAGGCAGCUCUCUAAUCUACAUCUGACGCUCAGGCACGAAAGCGUGGGGAUCAAACA
rnacentral:rRNA from 1 species